ACCAGGUGUGGUGGCGCACACCUGUAAUCUCAGCUGCUCAGGAGGCUGAGGCAGGAGGAUCAUAAAUUCAAAGCCAACCUCAGCAACUUAGCAAAACCCUGUCUCAA
rnacentral:sRNA from 1 species